CCUACGGGAGGCAGCAGUGGGGAAUAUUGCGCAAUGGGCGGAAGCCUGACGCAGCGACGCCGCGUGGGGGAUGACGGCCUUCGGGUUGUAAACCUCUUUCGCCAGGGACGAAGCGUGAGUGACGGUACCUGGAUAAGAAGCACCGGCCAACUACGUGCCAGCAGCCGCGGUAAU
rnacentral:rRNA from 1 species